GGACAUGUAGCUCAGUGGCAGAGCCUCGACAUUCCUUUAGGCACUUUUAGAGUGCUGUCAACAUAGCGACUUUUAGAGUCGCGCCGUUGGGGAUGUCGAAGACCCAGUGUUCGAUUCCUGGCGUGUCCC